UACGUAGGGUGCGAGCGUUGUCCGGAAUUAUUGGGCGUAAAGGGCUCGUAGGCGGUCUGUUGCGUCGGGAGUGAAACCUCAGGGCUUAACCCUGAGCCUGCUUCCGAUACGGGCAGACUAGAGGUAUGCAGGGGAGAACGGAAUUCCUGGUGUAGCGGUGAAAUGCGCAGAUAUCAGGAGGAACACCGGUGGCGAAGGCGGUUCUCUGGGCAUUACCUGACGCUGAGGAGCGAAAGCGUGGGGAGCGAACAGG
rnacentral:rRNA from 1 species